rnacentral:lncRNA from 1 species
ACCACGUUCUAUGUUUGGUUCAAAGCGCGAAUAGUGACCUCGCACGCGACCCAAAACAACACGUAUGAAUCGGCGCUUCUGAUUGGCUGCCGCUGGUCACGUGGCCGGAGUUUGGAUGCUCCCGGUUGGCUGAGUUGUUUGUUUACGCAACGGCCAGCCAAUCACAGCCGGCCGACUUCCGAGAUUCCUGUAAAUAGCCGCGAACGCGGAACUCUCCGUUUGGACCGCAGUCGUGAGCAAAUUCUGCGUUUGGGGCUGAGAAGCAACGGGCAAAAAAAAACGCGUCAUGGUCUGACUUCUGAUUAAAGGUGAGGAGGAUUUUACUUUUUCAUUUCUUAAAAAUACAGUAUAAUAACCACGCCGCGUGUCUGUAUUUAUGUACGUCGUGUGGUCGUCUCGUGUUCACCUUUGACCUUUUAUUAAAUAAAUACAUACAUGGUCCGUGUGAGUGCUAAAUCCUGAAUUAAAGUUCGUCUCGAUUCGACACCGCCACAGGCAGCGUCUACGUUGCCCGCAAGAUCGCUGCCGCCGUCCGGGAGAAGUCUGAGGGGCCGGUGUCCACACCAUGCAGUCCGGCCGAGGGUGAGAAGGACAAGCGGCGCUCUGUGUCGGACAAGGCAGCGAUGGAGACAUCUGACACCGAGGACGCGCUGCUGGCCGGCGCUGUGGCCCCGUCCACAGACACGGCGGUGCAGAAGUGUGGCUCCUGAGGUUAAAGGUCACGCCGGCAAACUAGAGCGAGGGAGGGUUCAUUUAAAAGAUUUGCGUUGCUGAACCCCACUUGCCCCGUCAUUCCGAGCGUGGCCUGUUUCUUCAUCUCCCCCACACACACACACACACACACACACACACACACACACACACACAGCUGCUGUGUGAAGGCCUGCUCACCAAACCUCCUUCGAGGGACUGUUCAGGCUGGAUGGAUUUCUGCAGUUGUGCAAUAAUGUAACACACAAAAUUCAUGUAUGUCCACCCUGAAUGUUUAAUUAUGUCAUCAUAACAUUUUUUUUUUGCUUUUACAUGUAAUAAAAUAAUAAUAAAAAAGUAUGUAUAUAUUUCC